rnacentral:rRNA from 1 species
AUUGAACGCUGGCGGCAUGCCUUACACAUGCAAGUCGAACGGCAGCACGGGAGCAAUCCUGGUGGCGAGUGGCGAACGGGUGAGUAAUAUAUCGGAACGUGCCCAGUAGUGGGGGAUAACUGCUCGAAAGAGCAGCUAAUACCGCAUACGACCUGAGGGUGAAAGGGGGGGAUCGCAAGACCUCUCGCUAUUGGAGCGGCCGAUAUCAGAUUAGCUAGUUGGUGGGGUAAAGGCCUACCAAGGCAACGAUCUGUAGUUGGUCUGAGAGGACGACCAGCCACACUGGGACUGAGACACGGCCAGACUCCUACGGGAGGCAGCAGUGGGGAAUUUUGGACAAUGGACGCAAGUCUGAUCCAGCCAUGCCGCGUGCGGGAAGAAGGCCUUCGGGUUGUAAACCGCUUUUGUCAGGGAAGAAACGCUCUGGGUUAAUACCUCGGGGUAAUGACGGUACCUGAAGAAUAAGCACCGGCUAACUACGUGCCAGCAGCCGCGGUAAUAC